GGCCGGCUAGCUCAGUCGGUUAGAGCGUCGUGCUAAUAACGCGAAGGUCGUGGGUUCAAUCCAUGCGCAGGCCA
rnacentral:tRNA from 1 species